rnacentral:rRNA from 1 species
GAUGAACGCUGGCGGCGUGCUUAACACAUGCAAGUCGAACGAAGCAAUUGGAGUGCUUGCACUUUGAUUGACUGAGUGGCGGACGGGUGAGUAACGCGUGGGUAACCUGCCUCAUACAGGGGGAUAACAGUUAGAAAUGACUGCUAAUACCGCAUAAGCGCACAGUAUCGCAUGGUACAGUGUGAAAAAACUCCGGUGGUAUGAGAUGGACCCGCGUCUGAUUAGCUAGUUGGUAAGGUAACGGCUUACCAAGGCGACGAUCAGUAGCCAGCCUGAGAGGUGAUCGGCACAUUGGGACUGAGACACGGCCCAAAACUCCUACGGAGGCAGCAGUGGGAAUAUUGCACAAUGGGGGAAACCCUGGAAUGCAGCAACGCCGCGU